GGCAGGCUGUGCAGUUCAUUGGAGAGAGAACCUCCAGGAAAUCCGUGUUCUACUUGAUGCAGAAGUACGUGCCUGUUGGGUGAAAGCAAUCAAGAGAAAUGAGGUGAGAGAGACGAAUCCGAAUGAAUCGAGGAGCAGUGCAGUCUAUAUUCCCCUCAAAUGAUUGGGAUACAGGAAGAGGCUCACAAGCUUGUGAGUCAGUUUACCAGCGAGCAAGAAAGCUUCUUGGUGCUGGUGGCCUGCGUGACUCCCAGGAGAUGCCUGUCCCAGGGGACAGCACAGAAGAGGAUCAUGACUAUGCCUGCCAUCCAUCUCCUGGUUCCUUCCUGAUUAAGAGAUGGCAGAUGGAGAGAUGGACGGAGGGGUGACAGAACAGACCUUGCAUUCAUUAUGUAUCUGGAUGUGGCGCUGACAGCUCUGAUGACUGACGGGAAGAGGUUGUGGAGAGGCGAGGAGCUGGGUAAAUUCUGUGACCGCUGUGCCUUUUUUCACACUGACUGUAUAAAAAUUGUGCUCAUUCGGAAGAUGGAAAGAAUUUUUGAGCUGUCAGGCCUUUGUUUGGCUCUAAAAUGCACUA